rnacentral:rRNA from 1 species
ACGCUCGACACCUACGGGAGCAGCAGUGGGGAAUAUUGCACAAUGGGGGAAACCCUGAUGCAGCGACGCCGCGUGAAGGAAGAAGUAUUUCGGUAUGUAAACUUCUAUCAGCAGGGAAGAAGAUGACGGUACCUGACUAAGAAGCCCCGGCUAACUACGUGCCAGCACGCCGACGUAUCNGNGCGGNNGAGAG